CUUCUUUUCCCUGUGCGCCGCCGCUUUCCCCCAAGAACAGAGAGGAGAGGAGAAGAGGUGGAAGCAGAAGGAGGAGUGCGGGAGCCGAGCUCGCCGAGGGGCUGGGCCACGUGUCGCCACCCCUGGAGAAGGAGCCGCCGAGGAGGACGCCGCCGCUGGGAGCUCGAUGCCACUACCGAGCUCGCCGAGGGACAGAACGCCGCGGCCGGCACCCGACGCCGCUGCCGCACCAGGAGCCCGCCAAGGAGAAGCAGCGCCGCCGUCGGACCUUCGCCAUCAAGCCAGCGCCCGUACGACUACGUCGGCGUAGCUGCGCGGCCUGCACUGCACCAAGACGCCACGGCCUCGCCUCGUCCCAGCCUCGCCCCAUUCUUCGUCGAGCCGUCCGACCCUUAGCGAGGAGGAGCUGAUCGACGCCCCGGACGCCCAGAGGACCCGGGAGGACGUCCCGAACAACGGGAAGACUCUGAAGUCUCAGGUUCAUGCCCAUCUAUGAUUUGAUUACCUAUUAGACAUUGCUUGCUAGAACUGCUAUCGCUUUAUUACUGUUAUGAGAUGAACCUGCAUAGCCAAUUGUGUGCCCUUAUUCCUUGAACUCCUAAUAUAAACCAUGUUUGAAUGGUUGAUAUGCUUGCAUGUGUAUGUGUGGGAUUUCCUCGUGUUAUGAUAGUCUUGGCGUGUGUGGAGAUCCACCAUAUCAGGAGUUGGUGACUAGGGCUUUUAGCAGGGGGCGAGCAAGUUGACUUUGCUGGGGGUGUGUGUUGGGCACACCCUGCGAGCACCUGUUGCGGGUGCAUGUUUGUGUCAUUGGACACGGUUAGACUCUGGAGGUGUUUUGUGGGCCUUACCUGUAAUGGGUGCCAGUCGUGGACCGCUGUGGCGGAUACGCAUGAGGACGGAGAUGCUCGCCCCGGCAUAUAAGGAACCGGUUGGUGUAACUAUGAUUAGUGGGACUUUGUGAGCAUGCACACCACUUAUCAACUAUUCGGGUGGAUCCGGUCCGAGGCUAGUAAGCGUGGUGCCAAGCCUGUAGGCGGAUGUAGUAUCGGUGCAGGGGAAGCAGGUGUGGACCUAACGUUCCCCGAUUCGCGGGAUUCAUGGGAAUCCUAUUCUAGAUGGCUUCACAGUCCCGGGGCGACCUCUUGCGAGAGAACGCGCCCAAUCCUGGGAAAGCAGGAUGGUGCCAUGGCUGCUAGAUCUUGUUCUCAGUAGACCGCUGCCUCGGAGUCAGUCGGAGUUGUCUGCUGGCUGGUGACGGGGCGAGUGGGUACUGGUGUACAACCCCUGCAGGGUGAAAACUAUAUGUAUAGCCGCGUACUCGGUCAUGUGCAUUCCUACUCUUCUGUUACUUCCAUUAGUUAGUGUGACUUCAUACUUUAAUACCUCCCUCUAGCCUACUUUGCUGCUUGGAUAGCAGCUGAGGUGUGAGGAGAGGGAGUUCUCGCACCGACUUGGUUAUCAGGGACUUAGGUGAGUCUCAGAGGUGUGAGUUGACCGGGAGUCCGGGAUGCCGGAAUGGCCCGCGUCUGGUGACUUGGCAGAUGCUAUACUUUGUUGAUGCUACGCAUAGGAAACCCUAGCCUUAUCCGUUGACUAUUUCUUAUAUCAUAAUGCAUCCACUUAAAGCUUGCAUACGGAUGGUGACGUGAACCUAUCCCAUCCUUGGGGAUAGUUUGGUAGAUGUAGAAUCCGACUCGAAGAUCGACGAUGACUUUAAAGGAAGGACUAAGGACGACUCGUGCUUCACUCAAGUUUGCCUGUGGAUGAAAAAAAAUGUCAAGAUGAAGGAUGUCCCGGAAGUCUAGCUACCGCUUUCAUUUUCUGGUUGUUCCUUUUUUGCCCAAUGGGCUUGUACCAUAUGAUUUCGUACCACAAUCUGCUGGAUUAUGUAAUAAUUAAACCUUUGUUGUGUUUUAUCGCGAAGUAUGACUGUGAUAUGUAAUUGAAAUGAGUUCUGUAUGUGAUAGCUACUGAUCCAGGGACUAUCACGACGAUACAGGGAAUCGGGUUGUCCGUUCGACAACCCGGUUCGUUUCAUGCGGGGCAUAUCCUCGAGGCAUAGCCGGAAGAAUGUGGACUCAUGGCAAUCCGACGCCGCCUCGCACCACACGAGGCAGAGAUAUAAGGAAGGGCUCAUCCAGAAAGGGAGAGAUGAGGCAAUGGAAGACAUUGCCAUGGGGAAGAUACAAGAGGCGUUCAUGAGCAACGACCCCAAGAUGAUGGAGCUGAGGAAGAAGAUGUUCCUCCAGGUUGGCGUGUUGCCACAACAGCCGGCCGGUACCUCACAACCCCAGAGGUUCCCAGUCGAUGAGAUCACAGAGGAAACAUUGGCCGUCCUCCAAAUGCCCUUUUGUAGGGCAGGGAGGAAGAAUGAUGUAGCGCAUGGAUUAGUACAACCGCGACUCUGAAGCCAGGUACAACGGGCAGCCUAUCCCGCCCGAUUACGCUGUGGUGAACAUUGCAUGGGUGGCCGAAGAACACAAAAGGUUGAACUUGACUAUCCCCUUGAAUGCGGAAACACAACCAUCAGCCAUGCUUUAGGCCUUAUCGUGCUAUGGAACAAGGCAGAUAUUGUCUUAAUGGAGAAGAUGACGUCGAAACCAACGCAACCAUCGCCAUCUCCCCCAGGUAGCCCAAGUGACGAUGACAAUGCUGGUGGCUCAGGUAGCAAUCCUCGACGUAGCCCGCCCCCCGACAAGAACGACCCACAAGGAGAUAUAGGGGGUGCACCGGGCAAUGAUACACCGCCUCCAAGUGGUCCAAAGGGCACCAAGCAAUGUCCUGCUGCGCCGAAGAAGCAUAUAGUAGAAGAUGAGGACAAACCGCCCCACCUUACUACAGAGCAAUGGGCCGCAUACCAAAUAGCAGAAGACUUCACCUACACAACAGCGUUUGAUAGGGAACCAACACCGCUGGAAGUCUGGCCCCUUUCUCCUGAUUGCCCUGAUAACUACGAGCAUGGCAAGUUUAUGUUGCCCUUGGGCCAGCUUGUCCAGGAGGAGUCAUGGGAGGUUCGGAGGUUCCAUCUAUGGUACAUGCAUGCUGCGAAGUUAGGCAUGAGGGAAUUCAUUGUCAGGGCCUCGAAGGAGUACUUCCACUUGGAGGACGAUUGUUAUUUCACCAUCGACUUCCAUGACAUGCAUAGGCUGCUGCGCCGCAAGGACCUUGGCAUCGUGCAAGUCACCCUUUAUGCCAUGAUGCAAGCAUAUGCUACCCAGCAACUAGGGGAAGAUAUUAUCUACCUAUCUCCUAUGCAUAUUACCCAAAGGGCCAUUAGUGGAUACGAUAUACCAGACACGCACCCAAAGUUAGUGAAUUUGACCGGUCUACAGCGAGUGGAGGUCCGAGUUAAAAUGUGAGGCGAGAUGUUGUAUAGAAAAGGACAAUACAUCUUAGAAGCCAUGAAGAAGGUUCGGGGCAAUGGGUGUAACCUUGCCGCGCACCAAUUCGGCGGGGGAAUCAUGGGCCACUGGGUUGUAUUUGUCAUCUAUCCUCAGGAUGGAAAGGCUGUCAUAUUCGAUUCCUUGCGCCAUACGCACAAUGACGCGUAUAAGGAUUUCGAAUACUGUCUGCGAUAUGCUUACAGGAAAUACGCGGAAGACCCCGAUUGCUAUGAUUAGAGGUCCGAGAAAAACAAGCAGAAGAAUGGCACAAUAUUGUGCCUCAAGCGAGAUUUUCCAUGCGCGAAGCAACCUGCAAACUCAGUAUUGUGUGGAUACUAUGCUUGUGCAUACCUCAUGACUGCCGGAUGUUACAACAGAAGCUGGCGAUAGCUCAAGAAAUCUGUAGCAUGGUGGCACAGGUCAAGGGUGGACAAGUAUGUCAUCAACCAAAUAAUAUCUGACAUUUGUAAGUUUGUCACUGAUGAAUGUUGUCAUGUUGGGGGUCUCGCCUUCUAUGACGAGAGCGAUCUAGCAACGGACGACAAGUUCGUGAGGCUACGCAACUGGAGAACCCAACUUAACAUGAAGGACUACAAGUUGCCGGAACUCGAUUAGAUGCCUUUAGCUUUUGUAAUCAUUUGAACGCAAAUGUCGAAUUGAUGUAUAUACAUUUGUGAAUGGAUGUAAUAUACUUGUUGAACAUGUACUAUGCAAAAUCGGA